UACGUAGGGUGCAAGCGUUGUCCGGAAUUUAUUGGGCGUAAAAGAGCUCGUAGGCGGUUUUGUUGCGUCGGCUGUGAAAUCCCGAGGCUCAACCCUCGGGUCUGCAGUCGAUACGAGCAAACUAGAGUGUUGCAGGGGAGACUGGGAAUUCCUGGUGAUAGCGGUGGAAAUACGGCAGAUAUCAGGAGGAACACCGGUGGCGAAGGCGGGUCUCUGGGCCGUAACUGACGCUGGAGGAGCGAAAGCAUGGGGAGCGAACAGGA
rnacentral:rRNA from 1 species